rnacentral:rRNA from 1 species
UACGGAGGGGGCUAGCGUUGUUCGGAAUUACUGGGCGUAAAGCGCGCGUAGGCGGACCUGCAAGUCGGGGGUGAAAGCCCGGGGCUCAACCUCGGAAUUGCCUUCGAUACUGGGUAUCUUGAGUUCGGGAGAGGUGAGUGGAAUGCCGAGUGUAGAGGUGAAAUUCGUAGAUAUUCGGCGGAACACCAGUGGCGAAGGCGACUCACUGGCCCGAUACUGACGCUGAUGCGCGAAAGCGUGGGGAGCAAACAGG